ensembl:lincRNA
GAGUAGAUACAACAGAAUGUUCGCUCUGUUGCUUUCUUCUGCUAAUCGUAGCUCUUCCUUUACCAGGUUUCCAGCCUGUCACAGCUCCCAGCUCUUCCUGCACAUUCAACAGGACGUUGGGGGGAUCUGUCCAUCUGCAACUGACUUCACGGCCCUUCUUGAGCCCUAACAUUUGGGAGAUUGAGUGGAUUUGGAAUUCUGAGUCUAAGAGAAAACAUUUUCUGGUGUCCUUGAAGCCUAAUAACUCUAAUCCUCAAUGGUACAACCUUGAAGAAAAAUACAAGCAUAGAUUCUACCUGACAGAGAUGUCUUCCUUGAACAUCCGGGAUCUCACUAUGGAAAUAGGUGGACUAUAUGUAGCGACAAUCAAAUUCUCCUCAGGAGAAUCCCAGCAAGAAUCUUUUAGAGUCUGUGUAUAUGAGCCCAUCCCCCAGCCCCAAAUUGUGAUUCAUUCAUCAUCCAACACAUCAGGCUGGUGCAAUGUCAGCCUGGAGUGUGGGACCCCAGGGGCUACAGAGAACCUGGCAAUAACCUGGCUGAGCAAGGGCUUCCCCAGGGAGCUGGAACAGAGAGAGACACUGGUGCCAGCCGCCAACUCCAGGAAUCUAAGCCUGAGCCUGCCCCUGAGCCGGUUGAAUGGGCACCUCACCUGUGUGUUCAGCAACCCUGCGGACCAGAAGAAUGCAACCUUAGACCUGGAGACCAUCUGUCCUUGGAGGGGUUCUCCUCAGAGCAAAUGGCUUUGGAUAGGCCCCAUCCUCGUCCUGGUUCUGAUGGUGAGCUUGGUGGCCGGAGUGUGGAUCUGGAAGAGGAAGAAUACGAAGGCUGAGAGAGGUGGGCCCGCUUUUCUGCCCGAGGAGCCAAGCUCGGCAGCUGCUCCCCAUGUCCUUUCCACGGAGAAAUUUGCUGACUCACAGACUGGAGAGGUCAACAGCCAUGAGCCUCCCUACGCAGAGAUCGGCCUCCUGAGACACCCUAAGAACAACAUGGAGGAGAGACGCUUCCACGCACAAAGCCCCAAGCUGACUCCAGAAACCCACACCAUCUAUGAGAAGAUCCGGCUGAGCCCAGAGGCCGUAGGGGAUACCUAGACCAUGAAGACACUGGAACAAUGAGGGGCCUUGGUAAGAUCUGCUACACCCCACCUUUCACCCAUGGGUCCCACUAUGCUUCUUUACGGUGGAGCUGGAACUAGACCCCAAGUCUCCCUGACCCCUCCCACUGAGACAACGGGCAGCAGGAGCUGCCCCCUGGUUUCCCCACGGGUGUGAACAGUGACUCUGCUAUUCAAACAUUGAAGCAUGAAAGGCAAACCCUUCAGCGGUCAGCCGGCCUCUGACCUCUGGCCUUUGACCGACUUAAUGCCCAUUAGUGCAUACUCUUGGUCGGGCAGGACCCGUGCUGGCAUGGUCAGGGUGCAGAGAUGCUUUCACAGAACAGGGGGGGUCCUGGGCCUGAGAAAGAUGAGCCUUGGGUGGAGGACCUUUAAGAUGUCGCCACUACCCAGGGACAGAGAGGUAGCCCUUGACUGUGGAAAAGCAGGAGGCCUGCAGGUACAAGAUUAGGGGCCCGCUGCAGUGUAGAAGUGAGUGAUGGGAAUGGGAGGGAAUAUUUCUUUAGCUCCACUAUCUACCAGGCUUAAUUCUAAGUGUACUAAAUAUGCUAUCUCAGGAUUUCUCAAAAUUCAAGUAACUCACAGACCCUUUCCCUUUUAUUACGUAACAGAAGUCAAAGGGCAUGUCAUUGAAAUUAUGAUAUUUCGCCAAUUUUGUUGCUGUAGUACAUGUGGUCUUGUUCCCUAUAUAUCCUCUUACUGGUUGGUUAAAGUAAUAUGCACAAAAUACCAUGUUUCCCUGAAAAUAAGACAGGGUCUUAUAUUUAUUUUUCCUCAAGAAGACACCCUAGGGCUGAUUUUCAGGGAAUGUGUUAUUUUCUCUUCAAAGACUCAGCUUGCAGCACGCAUAGGAUGCUUGAGACCUGACAGGGGGAGCCGACCUUGUUGGCAGGGCUGCCCGCACCUUUCCAGUCACCUCUGGGAUAGUAGCUGUCGCGAUGGGGCAGAUGAGAAGGGCUGCUCCUCUUCUUUACUGCUCGGAUGUGAAGUGCAUGGGUUGUGCAGAUGGGUUGUGCAGAUGGGUUGUGUAGCCACGCCCAUCACUAGGUCUUAUUUUCGGGGUAGGGCUUAUAUUGCACAAAUGUUUAGAAAUCCUGCUAGGGCUUAUUUUAUGGGUAGGUCUUAUUUUCAGGGAAACACGGUAUAUUUAAAAACAUGCUAAAUCCUAUCAUUUGUAAUAGUUUUUCAUUUUAAUUAAGUUGAAUUUCUGUGUAGAUAACCAUAUUAUCAACAAAUAAUUAUAAAUUUUGCUUGUUUCCAAUUUUUAUGCCUUAUUCCUUUCUUUUGGCUAAUUGGGUUGACUAAUACCUCGAAAACUGUGUUAAAUAUUAGUGAUGAUAAAAGAUAUCCUUGGUUUGUCCUUAACUUUAAUAUGAAUACUUCCAAUGUUUCUCCACCAAGCGUGAUGUUGUUUUUUGGCUAAGGCAUAUAUAUUUUAUCAUGUUCAGAAAGUAUGUACCUAUUCUCAUUUUAUCAAAAGUUUUACCAAAAAUAAAACGUCAAAUGUUGUCAUUUCCCUUUCUGCAUUAGUGAAUAUAUUAUUUUUCUCUUUUUCACACAUUCAUAAUAUAUUAAUAGAUUUCCUAAUAUUGAACCUUUCAUGUAUUAUUGGAAUAAGCUCCAGCUGAUGUAUUAUUCUUUUAAUGUGCUACUGUUGGAUAAUAUUUUUAUUUGGGAUUUUUGUAUCAUUAUUUGUAAAUGAAAUUCUCCUGUAGUUUUUUAUGUUUUACUUUGUCAGUCUGGUAUUUAUGUUAUGCUUAUUAAGAAAUCAUUUUAUUUUCACUUCUUAUAAUAACUCAAUAAAAAUUGGCCUUGUAGUAAAAAAAUACCCUACUUAAAGAAAAGAAUUCCCAUCACACAGUGAUUUAUAUUAUUUUUAUUACAAUGUUACUUUAAGAUAUACAAACAUGAAACUAUAUAUAAAUGUCUUAUGAUAUAGCUUUUAUGUCAUAAACUAAAACAUGUAUAUAAUGUAAAUAAAAAAACUAAAGCAAUGAAGCAAUGGUUAUUUUAACUAAUGUUCAAACCUACAAAUUUAAUGUACUGAUGAUAGAUGUUUUUGUUUUGGUGAAAUUUGAUGUUAGGCUAGUUUUUUCCUUAAAUUCUAAUGUCAAUGAUUUAUUUUCAGCAUGAAGCUUAAAGCAAUUCAACUUGGAG